rnacentral:rRNA from 1 species
CCUACGGGAGGCAGCAGUGGGGAAUUUUGCGCAAUGCUCGUAAGAGUGACGCAGCGACGCCGCGUGAAUGACGAAGGCCUUCGGGUCGUAAAGUUCUAUCAACAGGGACGAAAGAAAUGACGGUACCUGAAUAAGAAGCCCCGGCUAACUACGUGCCAGCAGCCGCGGUAAUACGUAGGGGGCAAGCGUUAUCCGGAAUUACUGGGUGUAAAGGGUGAGUAGGCGGCAUGGUAAGCCAGAUGUGAAAGCCUUGGGCUUAACCCGAGGAUUGCAUUUGGAACUAUCAAGCUAGAGUACAGGAGAGGAAAGCGGAAUUCCUAGUGUAGCGGUGAAAUGCGUAGAUAUUAGGAAGAACACCAGUGGCGAAGGCGGCUUUCUGGACUGAAACUGACGCUGAGGCACGAAAGCGUGGGGAGCGAACAGGAUUAGAUACCCCGGUAGUC